AGCGAACGCUGGCGGCAGGCUUAACACAUGCAAGUCGAACGGGCACUUCGGUGCUAGUGGCAGACGGGUGAGUAACACGUGGGAACGUACCUUUCGGUUCGGAAUAAUUCAGGGAAACUUGGACUAAUACCGGAUACGCCCUUCGGGGGAAAGAUUUAUCGCCGAUUGAUCGGCCCGCGUCUGAUUAGCUAGUUGGUGAGGUAAUGGCUCACCAAGGCGACGAUCAGUAGCUGGUCUGAGAGGAUGAUCAGCCACAUUGGGACUGAGACACGGCCCAAACUCCUACGGGAGGCAGCAGUGGGGAAUAUUGGACAAUGGGCGCAAGCCUGAUCCAGCCAUGCCGCGUGAGUGAUGAAGGCCUUAGGGUUGUAAAGCUCUUUUGUCCGGGGACGAUAAUGACGGUACCGGAAGAAUAAGCCCCGGCUAACUUCGUGCCAGCAGCCGCGGUAAAUACGAAAGGGGGCUAGCGUUGCUCGGAAUCACUGGGGCGUAAAGGGCGCGUAGGCGGACUCUUAAGUCGGGGGUGAAAGCCCAGGGCUCAACCCCUGGAAUUGCCUUCGAUACUGGGGAGUCUUGAGUUUCGGAAAGAGUUUGUGAACUUGCGAGUGUAGAGGUGAUAUUUCGUAGAAUAUUCGCAAGAACACCAGUGGCGAAGGCGGCCCACCUGUUCCGAUACUGACGUUGAGGGCGCGAAAGCGUGGGGGAGCAAACAGGAUUAGAUACCCUUGGUAGUCCACGCCGUAAAACGAUGAAUGCCAGCGUUGGGAUGCAUGCCAUCUCAGUGGCGCAGCUAACGCUUUAAGCAUUCCGCUGGGGAGUACGGUCGCAAGAUUAAAACUCAAAGAAAUUGACGGGGGCCCGCACAAGCGGUGGAGCAUGUGGUUUAAUUCGAAGCAACGCGCAGAACCUUACCAGCUUUUGACAUGUCCGGUUUGAUCGGCAGAGAUGCCUUUCUUCAGUUCGGCUGGCCGGAACACAGGUGCUGCAUGGCUGUCGUCAGCUCGUGUCGUGAGAUGUUGGGUUAAGUCCCGCAACGAGCGCAACCCUCGCCCCUAGUUGCCAUCAUUCAGUUGGGAACUCUAGGGGGACUGCCGGUGAUAAGCCGCGAGGAAGGUGGGGAUGACGUCAAGUCCUCAUGGCCCUUACAGGCUGGGCUACACACGUGCUACAAUGGCGGUGACAAUGGGCAGCGAAGGAGCGAUCUGGAGCUAAUCCCAAAAAGCCGUCUCAGUUCAGAUUGCACUCUGCAACUCGAGUGCAUGAAGGUGGAAUCGCUAGUAAUCGUGGAUCAGCAUGCCACGGUGAAUACGUUCCCGGGCCUUGUACACACCGC
rnacentral:rRNA from 1 species